AAGUUUUAUUAUUAAGUUUAGUGAGAUCUGUUUGUACGCUGGGAGAAGAAAAGGUCUGAGAAGACGUAGUGAAAAGACUGACCCAGUUUUAUGUACUAUUGCUGCUAAGUAAACUUUUAUCUAACAUUUCACCAAGCUCUACUGUAGAUUUACCAUGAAAUUUAUGUCAGACUUGACCAGCUAAAUUCUAACUGGGAUGAUGAAUAAUUUGGCCUUGCAAUUUUUUUUUUUUUUUCAAGAUUUCUUUUGUUUUGUUUUAGGGAACAGCUUUGAAGUGGCACUUCUAGCUAUGCCAUGUGGGUACAUAUGUGUUUUACUACUUAUAUCCGUUGUGUGUGAAUAUAAUUAGGAGAAUUGAGGAGAUGAACUUGAAAGUAUGAGGUGGGAUUGGAUGUCUGUUGACUUCCUGUGGUUCUGGGUGUCUCAACCCUGAUAUUUCAUUAAAGGUAUUGAGUUAACUUGAUGUAGGGUAUUAGUCUUAGGAAGUAAAAAAGCUUGGUGGAUAUUGCAGGCUGCAAAGAGGUACUUUUAUAGCAACUGUAUUGCCAAGGUAUUUUUCAUUUAUGGAAAUUGUAAACAUAUGAGAUCAAACUGGUUGUGUGAGACUUGCUUUGAAUCUUUACGUCUCCAGCGUCUGUGUAUAAUUUCAGCAGUCAUGUUUAAGUGCAAUUAUGAAAUAAUACUCUUUCCUUUCCUGUGAAUUUUUGGUCUUGUAGACUUUAUCCUUGCAGCAAAUUCUUCUCUCUGUAGCUCUUCACAACAAGCUCUCAAAAGCAACUGCACAGAGGAGGUUUAUUUAACCCGACUGGGGUGGCAAUCUAAAGCGACGCUAACAAACCCUGUGGGAUUGGGAUAACUCCUACUUAGAGCAGGUGCUCUCCAAGCUGGGGCUUAGCAAUUUGUUGCCUCAAACAACCUGUCUGACCAGAAUGCCAGUUUAUGAAACUUCCAUGGAGAUUACUUGAGUGAUCAAUGUGUAAUGUUAAAAAUUAAUGAGCCCUUUCUGUUAAAAGGAAAAAUAGACUUACACUGAGGGCUUUUAGAAAAUUGAGGAAGUGCAAUUGCUGGGCUUCAUUUUUGGGUGAAAGAAUCUUGAAACUAUUUAUUAACAAUUAAAAGAAGGUACAUAAUAAGCAUGUUAGACUGGAUGCCGUCUUUAGACGUUACUCUCAUGAGAGCUACUCAGCCAUAGCAGUUCCUCCAUUUCUGCUGGAUGAGGAAGGCACUGUCCAGUCACAUUGUACUGUUCUAUGCUCAUGGAUGCAGGGAACUUAGGCUCUACGUGGAGCACCAACCUCUAAAUGCCAACAUUGUAAAGGCAGAAAGUAUUUUAGGCUGUUUGCUGCUCUUGCUGUAAAUUUUCUUGACCUAUUUCUUUACCUAACUCCUCUGUUUUGGCCAUCUCACUCCCCUUGGGAGUAGGCUUUCAGAACACACGUAGCUUCAGUGUUAAACUUCUUAUGGUAAAAAUGGUUAGGAAGAUUCAUAGUCAACAGGACAAGCAAAUGGACAGUAAAAGGACUGGACAGAAAUGUAUGCUCUAACAUCCCUAAUGGAUCAGUUAAGGAUGUGGAUGCAGGGGGAAUGCAAGGGGAAGAGACUGCACAGUUGCUAGGCUGACAUGUUCUCCCUGAAAAUCAUCCCCUGUUGCUCUUAUCAGGGAGAAGAUUUUGGUUAGACAGAUUGUUAGUCUGGUGUGGUAAGGCAUUUUUUUCUUGACAGUAUCAUGGAGUAGAUGUUUCUCAGUCUUUAAAACCAAGCUGCUCAGGUUUCUCAGGCUCAUUUCCACUGACUGCCCCUGUCAGCAGGAAUAAGUUUAAAUUUCCAUAAAAUAUGGAAGAAAUGCUGCUGCAUUUAUUUUUUCCAUUAGCACUGAUAUCUGUAGCCAUUUUUCCUUUGUAGGAACAAGUGCUGUAAGCCAUGCUCACCUUCUCUAAAUCCUUUUUCUUUCGCCUUGUAAUGAGUGGCAGUUCAAUUAUUUCAGCACCAUGAAGCUAUUUAGGAUGCCAUGGAGUGGCAGAAAUAUUUACAUGCAUGCACUUCAGUAGUUAAAGCUGACCAAGGCAGUGACAUAAAGUGGUGCACUCUAUUCCUGUAACAGGAAUAGCCAAGUGGCUCUAAUUGAGUGAUUGGAAUGUGAUACCUGUUGGGAUUUGCUGUUGGGUGCAUUAAUAAACAAUAACCACUAAAAUGGAGAUGUGCAGCCAUAUGCACACACAUGUUUCUUACCACAGCAUUUGAAUCAAGUAUGGAAUACAUAGAGGAAAGUAUUUUGUUUCUGUGCACACAGAAGUCUGGGGUGUUUUCUUGUGAAGUUCACAGUGGAUUACCAGAAUUUUUUGAAUUUGCUUUCAAAACUACACCAUGUCAAACUGCACUUGUCGCUCGAGUUGCUAAUGAUACCUAGAAACCUUAUGUUAAUCACUAAAAUCCACAAGCCCCUGAACAAGCAAACAAAUCAAAGAAGUAAUGGAUUAGCUUGUUAUGCUGUCCUGGAUGACUUGUUUUUCAGUAUGCUUAUGGGGAUUGCUUUCUGCUGCCCACUGGUUAUUUAAUCCUGUUUUAACACAGAAAUUUGGUGGAAAAAGCUACUAAAGCUCCUUUUCUAAAACAGGUCUUCAUUGUUUAUUAUGGAACAAUUAAAAUGAAUGUGACUGUCUGUUUAUGAAGGCACUAGGGCUUGUAAUACCUUUCUUGUUUGCUUUGGGUUUAUUUAAAGUUUUUUUGAGAGCUACCAGUGGAAAUAAAGGACUUUUGAAGCAGAAACUGCAUGGUUUUGUAAUUUUUUUGUUUGAAUUUUAGGAUUAAACUAUGAUUUUAAAGGAGAUAGGUCUUCAAACAGUGCUAGAAGAGUCAAAGUAGUGUUUCAGGUACAUGUCUUGUUUAAUCAGUAAAAUUCAUGAACUUUCAGUACUUUUACAUCAGAAGAUCAUUUGAAGUAAUACUAUGUACACAUCUGUAGUGGUUUUUAUCAGAGUCCUUUGCUGUAACUAUUGAGUAUUUCUGAUAGUCUGUAUUUCACGGAGAAAUACAGUGGCAUUUUUUUUUUUUGCUUAGUACUGUUAAAGAGUAAAUAUGCUCUUCAUCUUUCAUACCAGUGCUUGAACAAAUAAAUAUCUACUGCUUUACCAUGAAAGGCCUCCCAAGCUUGCAGGUUGCAGCUGGUGAGAGAGGUCACGUUUGUAUCUGAGAAGAGAUUGAUCAAACCUGUGGGCUCUGCUGUAAUUUGGUUAUUACCCAUCAUUGCAUGAUCAAUACCACACAAAUAGAAAACCCCAAGUCCAGUAGGAGUGAAACUCUCGCUUUUCCUGGUCAGUCUUAAGUGAAGGGGCUGCUGCCUGUCUCAAACAGAAAAGCUCUUGCUUUCAUCUCUGGUCUGCAGUGGAAGGACAAAAGGGGAGACUUUCAAAAGCAGUAAUGAGAAUCAGGAGCUGAAAUCCCAUUGACUUUUAAUGAAGGUUAGGGGCAGAUGCUUUUGUUGUGCAUCAGAAACUUCCUCUUUCUCAAUUGUCCAAGUGGCUGAUGGUGGAUGAGAUCUGCCUGUGCCACCUUUUGGACUCAGACAGGAACAAAAGUUACCUUGAGUUAUGUUUGCUGUGUGGCCUGAGCUAAACACAGAUCCCCUUUACUUGUUUCCAUGAGGAACAGUCAGUAAUCACACCCCCACCUUUGUCCUCCUCCUCCUCUGUGUGCUGCAGAGCCUCUUGAGAGAUAAAAGCACUAAGAAGUUACUGCUUGGUUACUCUGUGCUGCAGCACUGGGUAUCUGCAGAAAGCAGUGAAUAUUUUCCCAAAGUUAAGUUGUUCUGUUGUGUGAGAGAAACUUUAUCUGGUGAUCUGCAAAAGAUUCUGUAAAGGCCUCUAUCAAGCAGGGUUGGAAGUACCUUCCAUGUACCUGCACGUGCUUGUGCUUUCAGGAAAGUGAGUUUAAUGAUUAACAUACUUUCACUGCCUGAAAAAGUCACCUCCCUCAUUUUCUUCGAUAAUAUGUGAAGCUACUGUACUAACUUAGGCGUUUUACGUAGUGCCAGGCACAGCCUUGGAAGAAAUGCUGUUACAACACUAUUUUAGUUUUUAAAUUUUUAAAAGACAUUUAGAUCUUCCUCGCCAGGUAUUCUUUUCCCAUGCUGACAGGAAGCUGCUCCCGUGAUGAGGAUUGGUUGGCACACACACGCUUGCGAAAUGCUCCGCAAAGUGCCCACGCAGCUUUCCAACUGCGCCUCUGGUACUCACGGAAUAGGGUCACAGCCUGCCUGAGUGAAGCAGGGGGGAGGGAGGAACGUUGCUUUGGGAAGUAUAUGGGAAAAGCAGAGAAUUAUUUCUUUGAGACUUGAAGUAUUCCUGGAUACAACAUGGAAUUAAACCUAGCUUUAAGUCUCGUUUGUACUCUCCUAAUUGCCAGCUGGUUCCCAUCUCUCUGCAUCUGUGAACGUAUUGUGUGCCAUAAUCUCUGGGAAUUUAGGACUUGAUUUGUAGUUCUUUUUGAUAGAACUCUUGAUUCCUCUUUUUGUGCUUGGAGAUCUUCGUAUUUUUGUGUGCUUAUUGUAGGUGUAGCAUUUGCAUUUU